CGGAGGCCUCCGGGCGCGUGCAGGAGCGCGCGGCGCCGCUGCCCCCCGCGCUGAGGCUCGCGGGGCUCCGCCCCUUCACGCGCUACCGCCUGCGCGUGCGCUGCGGAGCCUCCCCCUGGAGCCAAUGGGAGAGCGCGGAGACCUUGGAGGGGGCCCCGGGCGCGCCCCCGGAGAACGUGACCCUGGAGCGCGCGGGGGCGCGCGCGCGGGCUCGUUGGGCGCCCCCUAGCGGGCAGCUCAAUGGCGCCCUCCGGGGCUUCCGCCUGCGCUAUGGGGGAGACCGGGAGCCCCAGGUGGAGCUGGACGUGGGGCUGGCGCAGGAGCAGAGCCUGGAGCUGCAGCAGAACCUGUGGGUCCGCGUGGCCCCAUACACGGCGGGGGGAGAGGGGCCCUGGAGCCCCCCAGUGCGGCUGGCGCCGAUUGGAGAGACACCGCUGGAGACGCAGCC